rnacentral:rRNA from 1 species
CGGUAAUUCCAGCUCCAAUAGCGUAUAUUAAAGUUGUUGUGGUUAAAAAGCUCGUAGUCGAACCUUGGGCCUGGCUGGCCGGUCCCCCUCACCGGGUGCACUGAUCCAGCCGGGCCUUUCCCUCUGUGGAACCCCAUGGCCUUCACUGGCUGUGCGGGGGAAACGGGACUUUUACUGUGAAAAAAUUAGAGUGCUCCAGGCAGGCCUAUGCUCGAAUACAUUAGCAUGGAAUAAUAGAAUAGGACGUGUGGUUCUAUUUUGUUGGUUUCUAGGACCGCCGUAAUGAUUAAUAGGGACAGUCGGGGGCAUCAGUAUUCAGUUGUCAGAGGUGAAAUUCUUGGAUCUACUGAAGACUAACUACUGCGAAAGCAUUUGCCAAGGAUGUUUUCAUUGAUAAGGAACGAAAGUUAGGGGAUCGAAGACGAUCAGAUACCGUCGUAGUCUUAACUAUAAACUAUGCCGACUAGGGAUCGGACGAUGUUAUUAUUUGACGCGUUCGGCACCUUUCGAGAAAUCAAAGUGCUUGGGCUCCAGGGGGAGUAUGGUCGCAAGGCUGAAACUUAAAGAAAUUGACGGAAGGGCACCACCAGGGGUGGAACCUGCGGCUUAAUUUGACUCAACACGGGGAAACUCACCAGGUCCAGACACAGUGAGGAUUGACAGAUUGAGAGCUCUUUCUUGAUUCUGUGGGUGGUGGUGCAUGGCCGUUCUUAGUUG